rnacentral:misc_RNA from 1 species
AAGCAGUUUUCUGGAAAAAUUUUCUAAGUAAAUUGGAAAAUAAAGUUUUGCGUUCACAUAUUCUAGUUUUCUAAAGGGAGAACUGGAAAACUUGUUUUUCAAUUUUCCAAAAUUUAACUAAAAUUUGGAAAAUAACUUUUUCUUUUGUAACAUUUUCCAACUAUUUUCCAAAUGGAAAAAAAAAAUCUAUAACUAAAACUAUACUAUAACUUUUCAUAAUUAAAAUUUAAUAAUUAUUUAAGAAAAUAUUUA